CCCGGCAAAGCAACGGCGAUAAGCCGCUGACACGCCCGGCUCUCCCUUCUCUCUCUCGGCGGCAUCACCGCCUCAUCUCCUUUACCCCUCUUACUUAGAUCGGCGACGGUGAGAGCCUCCGCCGUCUGAGCCCUAGCCCCAAUCACGGCUCCCACAGAAUCCGCCGCCGCCAGCCACGCCGCCUCCCCCUCCUGACUCCUACCGACGACACUAGCGCCGCCAUCCUCACUCUGCUCUCCCCCAGAUCUGACAAAAUCUCUCUCUCUCUUUCCAACAAACUUCGGCGGACGACAGUAGCCCUCCUCCGGCCGCCGCCACCGCUCGUUCUCCCCUUCAAAUCUUCAACCGACAGCAGCAGAGUCGCGGCCGCCGCCGUCCGUCUGCCUUGACGGUGGUGGAGGAAUUUUUGGUGGUUUGGAGGCGGAGUGAGGAAGGUUUGGAGUUGGUGGAUGGGAGAGGCGCCGCGCGUCGGGCAAAUCUCGCUCCCAUGGAUUCAAAUUGUCGUCGUGAACACCAUCCGAAAGUUCAAUUCCCCUCGAGAGAAAUGCUGCAAAUUGAUCUGCGUGAGGUAGAGAAUGUCAGGGAAAGGAG